GCAUUUCUAUUUUUUGUUUGUCCUCAAGUAUGUCCAGUGUAUUGUCAUGUAGUCUUUUAUUAGUAUAAGUGGCUAUUAUAAAUUAUAUCCUGAUUUAUUCUUUUCAUUUAUUGAAUUUUCUAAUAAAUUUGUAGUUUAGAAAUCAAAAUUAAUGUGUCAAAAGUUUAUAAAAUGACAAAAAUUGGCUAAAACUAAAAACUAACCUCUAAACAUGAGUUUAACCAUUUAAAGAAACCGGUAUUAAUAACAUAUAUUAACUAAAGUUUCGGAAGUUUCUGUUAUAUUAUUGAUUCCAAUUUAUUUUUUUCAAUAGUGGUAAUAGUACUACUUGUAAUAUUUAUUUUUCUUACCUAUUAUUGUUUACAAAAUACAAAUUUUAUUUUGGGUGGAUAUUUUAGGACGUUUUUAUAUGGAUAUGAAAUAGAGUUGUAAGAGACUUUAUUAUAUUAACCAUUGAUAGAGGAUCAAAGUAAUUUUCUGAGAGAAUUUUAAAUUGUUAAAAUCUGUCAAAGAUCAGGAGAUUUCUUGAGGAAAAAGAGCAGAUCUGAGCCAUAAUUAUGCAGAAUAUUGACAAAAUGUUUUGGAAGAAGUGUUAUAUUAAUUAGUAACAUUCUAAUAUUCAUAAAUAGUUUAUCAACAAGCGAGAUAAAAUUUAAUAAAUAUUCCAUCAAAUAAAUAAUCUUGUAUUAUUCUUUUUGUAAAUUACAAGUUGCUUUCUUUUUUUCUCAAUUGCCGAUCUGUUAAUUCUCAGAAAUCUAUUGCAUCAUUUAAACACAAGAAAACAAGUCGAUUUAAAAGUGUAUUAUUACGUAACGCUGUUACGUUCAUCUCAUUUAUCUUUAUGAGCUGAUAUAUUUUCCAUUUAGCUUUACAAGAUAGGUUAUAUUUUAAGAAGAAAAUAAAAGUAAUACAUUGUGCUUGGAUUUAUAAAGAAAUGCUCAAAUUGUCUACUUCAGAGAUGUUUAAUCUCAGAUAGUUAAUAACACUAAUGGAUUAAUAACACAUUGGUUAUUAACAUACAUGGUUAAUAACACUAAUGGAUUAGAUUACAUAAGAGACAAUAUUCAUUAUAUUUUGAUUGAUUCAAUUCAUACAUUUAACAUUAUCUGUAUUUCUUACUGGUAAGUGAAAUCAGUUCUAAUUGCAAAUCUAAUCGUGUUUUUUACUCUUCAAGGAAAGUAAAUUCCUCGUUUAGAAAACUGGAAAAUAAUCAUACUCAGGAGAAUGAUCGUCGUUCCAGUAUAUAUUAGAAAGAAAUUGACAAAGCUAAUAUUGUUAUCAAUCCAAUGAACAGGUGAAAGAUUGCAUGAUAAACGAAUUAAUUGGUCUUGUGGAGAUUAUAAAAAUGUAAAUCUAGAAAAUAUCUUUUUCGAGAAUUAUCGAGAAAAUAGGAAGUAAAUAAUACAUCGAUGAUUAGAACCAUUUAGAAAACCUAUAAAGUGAUGUACUUUAUAUUAUAAACAAUGUUUUAUAUAUAUACAUAUAUAUAUUACCGUAAUUAUGGCAAUAAAGCAGUGUUAAUUUAUCGAUCAAAUUUGCUAGCUUAGACACAAUCGUGGGAAAGAUAUGUUUUGGAAAAAAGGUGUUUUAUUACAAAUUAUACUGCAUUUGAAAAUUUUCAAAGAUGAAAAAUUCUUUGAAAUUCAAUGGUAAAGUAUUUAAUUAACUAUUAGUUAACUGCCAUGGAUUUUUACUUCAAUUAGACAGAACAUACUUUUUGGUUAUUCUAUGGAUAAAUCACAUUACGAACCAAAAUUUUAGAUCUGCCAAUUAAGGAUGAAAAUAGGAGGACAAUGCUUUGUCUAUUUAUGUUAAUAGAAAGAUCAUUGUUGAAAGAAGAAUAAAUUUGAAUGGUGGUCAACGUGCCCAUAUCUAUCUUGCUACGACAAUCUAUGCUGCUGCAGAGGGUAAAUCACUUUCGAGGAUAUACACUCAAGAAGUUUAUAAUGGAAAAGAAUGAAGAAUCUUUUUACAAAAAGAAGAUCGAAGAGUCAAGAGAUUAAUAACUGUAAUAACAAUGGUAGGAAGCGUAAACCAUAGUAUUGGGUUCUUUGAGAUUUUUAUGUGGUAAUCGGUUAAACGAUUGGAAGGAAUAAUUCGAUUCUGGGUAACCGGUCACGUAAAACAACGUUUCAAGAUUUACCGACGAUUAAAGCAUUAAACGCUGAGAAAAUUCUUGU